rnacentral:lncRNA from 1 species
UCAUAUCAUUUGUGAAAUAAUGCAUCAUGAGGUUACAAAAAUCAAUAUAUGUAGGGUUGGAACAACUCAAGUUUUAAUCAUCUCACAAAGUCUUCUAACUUAGCUCAACUAUUUCUUUCUCAACACACCAAGUUUGUAAAGCACUAGACGUAGUUUAAGAAGGACCACCAAAUUGUCCUUACCAUGGACAUGACUGUUCGAAUAGGUUGACACUCUGCAGAAAUUGCACACAAUACCAACAAGACUAGGGUAACUUCUAUGCCAUCCACAACUCGCAAGAUAUUACAUACCCGGGGUAAGCACCCGAACAAUUCUUUCUAUUGACAACACUAAACAAAGAGUCCACUCGUUGGAACCCAUCCGUCAUGAUGUACAUCACAUCGUACAAUCCAUGAGCGGGCACAACAAUGUGCCCAGUGUCUAUGAAAAUUUUCAUAAUCGUCCAUUCAGGCACGACCCCUUAUCGAGAGACUGACUCUGCUCCCUCGUCACUAGGAACGCGGGCUCUCGGCUAGCAUGGACCAAAGUAAUCAACAAAGACCCUUCUCAUACAC